AAAUAGGGAUGACAUUUCUCCAUGUUUGUCAGGCCUUGGACUCUCUACGUCAGGUGAUCCAUCCACCCACCUCGGCCUCCCAAAGUGCUGGGAUUACAGGUGUGAGCCACUGCGCCUGACCCUUGCAGGUACUUCUUAAAGCUAUGGGGUUUUCCCAGAGCUUGGUAGCAUGUGUGUUCAAAGGGCUAUCAAUGUUGAGUUGUCCUAGCAGGCACUGGAUAGAGAGCAGGAUGGUCCUGAUAUCAUACGGGGCAGACCACUUCUCCUUCAGGAUGUCCAGGCAUAUGUUACCCUGGGUGUCCACGUUAGGGUGGUAGCAGGGUGUGAGGAACUUCACUGUGGGUGCAUCGUAAAGGUGGGUAGUCAUUGAGGAACUCCAGCAAGAGCUUAUACCUCAGAUCUUCAUACACUGUGCCAGCUGCUUCAUGGAUGGUGUCCAUUUGAUAAGGCUUUCAGGGUAGGCAGAAAUUCUUUUGUCACCAGGCAUCAUGAGGGUCAUCAGCUCCUGCUGUAGCCUUUUGGCUACAGGGCCCCAGGCAGUGCCCCUGCUGGGCUCAGCUCCUUUAUGGGCGGUGGCGACACUAACAGUGGCUGGGUCAAAGUUUUGUGAGGCUAUCUGGGUGGCACUGGCAGAGAGACAAGAACUCAGAAAAUGUGACUGCAUCUGUGAUCAUCAUGUUUAUUUUUUAUUUUUAUUUAUUUAUUUUGAGACGGAGUCUUGCUCUUGUCACCCAGGCUCCAUCUCAAAAAAAAAAAAAAAAGGAAAUAGUUUUAAGUUCUCCCAUCCAAGUAGUAACCAGGCCCGACCCUGCUUAGCUUCCGAGAUCAGACGAGAUCAGGCGCGUUCAGGGUGGUAUGGCCAUAGACGGAAAUAGUUUUAAGUUCUCAAUCAACUUCAACUGAAUGGUUAGUGGUCAGUUUUGUAAUCACAAUGACAUUCUUGCAAACAAAUACAAUGUGUGGCAUCUCUCUUUGAUAUACUGGAUAGUUAAAAAUUGUUUUAAAGUUUUGCCUAAUAUUUUGCGAUUUAUCUCAAUGUAAUCUGUAUAAGUAGUAAAAUUAUAGAUGACUCCUUUCCUUUUUUUUUUUUUUAAGACAAGGAUCUAGCUCUGUUGCCUAGGCUGGAGGGCAAUGGCAUGAUCACAGCUUACUGCAACCUCUGCUCCUGCAUUCAAGCGAUUCUCAUGCCUCAGCCUCCCGAACAUCUGGGAUUACAGGUGCAUGAUACCACAUCCGGCUAAUUUUUGGAUUUUUAGUAGAGACUGUUUCACGGUAUUGGCCUGACUGGUCUCGAACUCCUGUCCUCAAGUGACCCACCUGUCUUGGCCUCCCAAAGUGGGAUUACAGGCAUGAACCACUGCACCCAGCCUAAAUGACUACCUUUUAUGUUGCACAUUUUAAGUAACUUUUGUCAUUUCCAUCUUGGGUUGUUGCUUUUUUGUUUUUUGAGACAGAAUCUCGCUCUGUCGCCCAGGCUGGAGUGCAGUGGCCUGAUCUUGGCUCACUGCAAACUCCGCCUCCUGGGUUCAUGCCAUUCUCCUGCCUCAGCCUCCUGAGUAGCUGGGACAACAGGUGCGUGCCACCACACCUGGCUAACUUUCGGUAUUUUUAGUAGAGAUGGGGUUUCACUGUGUUAGCCAGGAUGGUCUCGAUCUCCUGACCUUGUGAUCCGCCCACCUCAUCCUCUCAAAGUGCUGGGAUUACAGGUGUGAGUCACUGUGCCCGGCCGUGUUGUCACUUUUAAUGUGCUUUGGUUUUAAUUUUCUGUAGAAAAGUAAAACAAAUUUUUCCCUUUAAAUUUAAUCCUUGCUUUUAAUGACUUGUGCACCCCAAUUUACUAAGAAAAUAAACCAUUUAAAAAAUAAUCUUGAGUUGGGCAUAGUAGUUUAUUCCUGUAAUCCCAACACAUUGGGAGGCAGAGGCAGGCUGUUGACUUGAGCCGAGGAGAUUGAGACCAGCCUGGGCAACAUGGCAAAACCCUGUGUCCACAAAAAAUGCAAAAAUUAGCCAGGCAGGGUGCCUGUCUGUAGUCCCAGCUACCCAGCAGGCUGAGGUGGCACGAUCACUUGAACCCUGGGGGUGGUCAAGGCUGCAGUGAGCCAUGAUCAUGCUACUGCAUUCCAGCCUGGGCAGCAGAGCAAGAUUCUCUCCAAAAAUAACAUAAAAAGUAUGUGUGUGUGUGUGUAUAUAUAUAAAAAAUGCCUUUAUGUGUAGGCUUGAUUUAAUUUUCAAUUUUAUGUGAAGCAUAAAUUGAGCAGUUUUUCUAUCUCAAUUUUUAAUCUAUUUUAACAUUGUAUUAC
rnacentral:lncRNA from 10 species